UCGGGAAUUUUGGGCAAUGGGGGAAACCCUGACCCAGCAACGCCGCGUGAAGGAUGAAGUAUUUCGGUAUGUAAACUUCGAAAGAAUAGGAAGAAUAAAUGACGGUACUAUUUAUAAGGUCCGACUAACUACGUGCCAGCAGCCGCGGUAAUACGUAGGGACCAAGCGUUGUUCGGAUUUACUGGGCGUAAAGGGCGCGUAGGCGGCAUGACAAGUCACUUGUGAAAUCUCUGGGCUUAACCCAGAACGGCCAAGUGAUACUGUCGCGCUAGAGUGCAGAAGGGGCAAUCGGAAUUCUUGGUGUAGCGGUGAAAUGCGUAGAUAUCAAGAGGAACACCUGAGGUGAAGACGGGUUGCUGGGCUGACACUGACGCUGAGGCGCGAAAGCCAGGGAAGCAAACAGGAUUAGAUACCCCCGUAGUCCCUGAGCGGGCUGGCAAGGCGCAU
rnacentral:rRNA from 1 species